UUACAUGACUAGUUUGAGUAUAAGGGUCAACCACUGGUCAACGUGACCAUUUGCCAACAGUAACCUUAUCUCGUUAUGAAAAAAUUGGAAAUUGUCAAGCAAUAACUUCGGACGUUUAAAAAUAGAAUAUUCCCAAUAAUCUCACCACUGUGUUAACUGUGCUGGGGUUAUAAAUAAUGGAGGAAAUCAUUCCUUCCAUUUCACCCAAGCCAUCUGCUCUUUCAUCUUCCACACUGUAGCCCUAGCACCGCCGCUACACAUUCCUUGAGCUCGAGCACCGCCAUCCC
rnacentral:lncRNA from 1 species